UACGUGGCAGGUUGGAAUAGGCUAAUCGUUUUAGGCAAAAGGGGAAAAAAUUAGGGUGUUUCUCUUUCACGAGUCCAAAACUUCAAACCCUUCAAUCCCUCUGGUUGAUGUUGUUCGAUGGGUGCUUCGUCUUCUUCCAAAUCCGGCGAUGAAAUCACCGAGGAGGUUCGGAUUUUUUUUUUUUUUUGUAUUGAUUUGAUGUUCGUGAAUUGAAUUUUGUUGAUUAUAAUUGAAAAUUUUGUUUUGUUGAUGAGAAUUGAUAUUAGAUUUGACUCGAAAAUUUUGUUUUGAUGAUGAGAUUUGAGAGACUCCAUGGACAGAGGAGACUGUGACAAAUACUCACCGAGAACUUUCCGGAACUUCGUCGAGCUAUCACAGAGAGGUUACUAUGACAACGUUCUCUGUCACAGAAUCAUCAAGGAUUUCAUCGUGCAAGGUGGAGAUCUUACUGGAACUUGAAGUGGUGGCCAAUCCAUUUAUGGGUAGAUUAUCUCUUUGAUCAAUGCUCGUUGAUUCCAUUUUUUGCAGGUGAAGCUAGCUGAAGUAAUUGGAAGUUUCACAACACCAAGAAGAAUGGCUUUGUUCUGGUCUGACAAGAAGGACCUGUUGAUCGAGACUACUACUCAGAUCAGAACGUUGCUUUGUGGUGACUGCAAUGUGAUCGCUCUUAAUCAUGUUACGAGAGAUCACAGGGACAGACCCGAAACAGAGACCAAAGAUGAAGGAAGUUACAGGGAGGUUACGAGAGAUCACAUGAUUUUAUGGUAGUUUGAGUUUGUGUGUGUGUUAUAUAACGACUCAAAAUGUUGUGUUAUUGUCCAAAAUAUUGUCCAAAAUUCUAGUUUGGAAUGCAUAAUGUUGUGUUAUUGUAUUUUUCUUAAAAUUCCUUGUUGUGAUG